rnacentral:rRNA from 1 species
GAUGAACGCUAGCGGCAGGCUUAAUACAUGCAAGUCGAGGGGCAGCAGGACUGUAGCAAUACAGUUGCUGGCGACCGGCAAACGGGUGCGGAACACGUACGCAAUCUACCCAGAACUGAUGAAUAGCCCUCCGAAAGGAGGAUUAAUACAUCGUAAUAUAAUGAAGUGGCAUCACUUUAUUAUUAUAGCUCCGGCGGUUUUGGAUGAGCGUGCGCCUGAUUAGGUAGUUGGCGGGGUAACGGCCCACCAAGCCUUCGAUCAGUAACUGGUGUGAGAGCACGACCAGUCACACGGGCACUGAGACACGGGCCCGACUCCUACGGGAGGCAGCAGUAAGGAAUAUUGGUCAAUGGACGCAAGUCUGAACCAGCCAUGCCGCGUGAAGGAUGAAGUCCUCUGAUUGUAAACUUCUUUUAUAUGGACGAAACCCCGAAUUCUUUCGGGUAUUGACGGUACCAUAAGAAUAAGCACCGGCUAACUCCGUGCCAGCA